AUGCAGUCGACGAUGAAGCCUUUCGGGGUGGAUUAGUGGCGAACGGGUGAGUAACACGUGGGCAAUCUGCCCUUCACUCUGGGACAAGCCCUGGAAACGGGGUCUAAUACCGGAUAACACUCUGUCCCGCAUGGGACGGGGUUAAAAGCUCCGGCGGUGAAGGAUGAGCCCGCGGCCUAUCAGCUUGUUGGUGGGGUAAUGGCCUACCAAGGCGACGACGGGUAGCCGGCCUGAGAGGGCGACCGGCCACACUGGGACUGAGACACGGCCCAGACUCCUACGGGAGGCAGCAGUGGGGAAUAUUGCACAAUGGGCGAAAGCCUGAUGCAGCGACGCCGCGUGAGGGAUGACGGCCUUCGGGUUGUAAACCUCUUUCAGCAGGGAAGAAGCGAAAGUGACGGUACCUGCAGAAGAAGCGCCGGCUAACUACGUGCCAGCAGCCGCGGUAAUACGUAGGGCGCAAGCGUUGUCCGGAAUUAUUGGGCGUAAAGAGCUCGUAGGCGGCUUGUCACGUCGGAUGUGAAAGCCCGGGGCUUAACCCCGGGUCUGCAUUCGAUACGGGCUAGCUAGAGUGUGGUAGGGGAGAUCGGAAUUCCUGGUGUAGCGGUGAA
rnacentral:rRNA from 1 species